CAUUCAGGGAAGGAGAGGCGAAAAAGCCUUCCAGCAGAGCCCACUCCGGCUCAGCCCUUCUCCCUGUGUGCCUGUCCCCUUGUCUCUGCUGCCGGGGCUGAUUGACCAACCUCUCCGACAGACUGGCUGCCAGCUCGCCCGGACGGCUCUCUCUUGCACCCUUGCUUGUUACUGUGAUGUAGUUAAGCACAGCAAGCUGCCUCGUGGCCUCUGACGUUUGCGUGGAAAAGAGAGAGGAUGUGCUCAACCUUCCUGUUAUACACCUGCGUUCAAGUUCUGGGGUCUUGACCCUCCAAAAAAAAAGAAACACUGGAGAAGUGCUUGGGAUCUGAAACGACCAUCCACCUCCUGUUGUAUGCAGGGAACACAGCAACCUCUUCUGGACAAAAGUGAAAGUAGCACAUAGUGUAAUGAAGCCAACAUAACAGAAGCAGUAAGAGCUACAAGGCCACCAGAUGCUCUCCCAGCCUAUUUGUCUUGUCCCUUUCGCAGACAAACUAAUUGCUAAACAAAAGGUGCUGGCGUGUCCUGUCGAGUACCCUUGUAAAUGCUUUACAGCCACAGUUCCAUUCUGCCGGAUAGUUAAGUGGCUAAUUAUAAAAGGACCACAGAAGAGCCUGAUUAGGGAUGAAGGGGAGGAGGAGGAGAAGGAGGAUGAGGUCCUAUAGCCCAUACACAAGGCAGUUGACACAGUUAGCUCAACAUGAAUGGGGUCCCCUUGAUGAAACUGCCUAAUGUAAAGAGCAGACCAACUCUUUGCUGUUGUUGAAAUAGAGUUACUGUAGAGCAGGGAACUCAAACUGCGGAGCCACGUGCAAUUUCCAGCCCCCAUCCUCCCUCUGGCAAGCAAAAUGAUGUCAAAAAUAUGAUAUAAGAUUACUAGAUUUUUUAAUAUUUUUUUCUUUUCUUUUCAUUUCUUCAUAUACAAUGAAAAAAAGGCAAAUGUCUAAGGGGCCUGCAAAUGCAUGCAAGGGUUUGAUAAGAAGAGAGCAGGUUUGGGGCUUUAUUUGUUGUUUGGUAGUGGGCCUCCUUUGAGAUGACCAUACCAGCAGUGGCCCCAAGCCAAUCCGAGUUUGAGACCCCUGUAGACGCUAUAAUGCUACUUGUUAUGUGUGGUGCACACUUAGAUAUAGCGGGGGUGGGCAGACGUCAUUGUGAUGCUUUUCCACCACUGUACUGUGUUAUAGAGCUGCAACUAAUGAUUAUUUGUAUCAUUGAUUACUGCUGAUAAUUUCUUGAUUAACUGAUUAAUUGUUUGAUCUAUAAUGUCUGAAAAAUAAUAAAAAAUGCCAAUCACUGUU